rnacentral:lncRNA from 1 species
AUCACAUAUACCUUUGUUCACUUUGCCAUCCUUCUUAUCCGCCAAAUACUUGGGGCAGUUCCGCUUCCAGUGUCCAGUCUGCUUGCAGUAGAAGCACUCAGUUUCAGGCUUAGGUCCAGACUUGGGUUUCUUCUCUUGAGCAGCAACUUGCUUGCCGUUCUUUUUGAAGUUCCCCUUCUUCUUCCCUUUGCCAUUCUUCUUGAAACUGGUGGUCUUGUUAACCAUCAACACUUGAUGCUCCUUCUUGAUUUCUACCUCCGCGGCUUUUAGCAUUGCGAAGAGCUCGGGAAUAGUCGUGUUCAUCCCUUGCAUAUUAUAGUUCAUCACGAAGCUCUUGUAGCUUGGUGGCAGUGAUUGGAGAAUUCUGUCAAUGACACUAUCAUCAGGAAGAUUAACUCCCAGUUGAAUCAAGUGAUUAUUAUACCCAGACAUUUUGAGUAUAUGUUCACUGACAGAACUAUUCUCCUCCAUCUUGCAGCUGUAGAACUUAUUGGAGACUUCAUAUCUCUCAAUCCGGGCAUUUGCUUGAAAUAUUAACUUCAACUCCUGGAACAUCUCAUAUGCUCCAUGACGUUCAAAAUGUCGUUGAAGACCCGGUUCUAAGCCGUAAAGCAUGGCACACUGAACUAUCGAGUAGUCAUCAGCUUUGCUCUGCCAGACAUUCUUAACGUCGUCAGUUGCAUCAGCAGCAGGCCUGGCACCCAGCGGUGCUUCCAGGAUGUAACUUUUCUGUGCAGCAAUGAGGAUAAUCCUCAGGUUACGGACCCAGUCUGUGUAAUUGCUACCAUCAUCUUUCAACUUUGCUCUCUCAAGGAUCGCAUUAAAAUUUAAUGGAACAACAGCACGAGCCAUCUAUCUACAAACAAACAUAGACAAGCAAAAUACUAUCAGGUACUAAGUUCAUGAUAAAUUUAAGUUCAAUUAAUCAUAUUACUUAAGAACUCCCACUUAGCCUGACAUCUCUCUAGUCAUCUAAGUGAUCAUGUGAUCCAAAUCAACUAAACCAUGUCCGAUCAUCACGUGAGAUGGAGUAGUUUCAAUGGUGAAAAUCACUAUGUUGAUCAUAUCUACUAUAUGAUUCACGUUCGACCUUUCGGUCUCUGUGUUGAGAGGCCAUAUCUGUAUAUGCUAGGCUCGUCAAGUAUGACCUGAGUAUUCCGUGUGUGCAACUGUUUUGCACCCGUUGUAUUUGAACGUAGAGCCUAUCACACCCGAUCAUCACGUGGUGUCUCAGCACGAAGAACUUUCGCAAUGGUGCAUACUCAGGGAGAACACUUCUUGAUUAUUAGUGAGAGAUCAUCUUAAAAUGCUACCGUCAAUCAAAGCAAGAUAAUAUGCAUAAAAGGAUAAACAUCACAUGCAAUCAAUAUAAGUGAUAUGAUGUGGCCAUCAUCAUCUUGUGCUUGUGAUCUCCAUCUUCGAAGCAUCGUCAUGAUCACCAUCGUCACCGGCGUGACACCUUGAUCUCCAUCGUAGCAUCGUUGUCGUUACACCAUCUAUUGCUUCUACGACUAUCACUACCACUUAGUGAUAAAGUAAAGCAAUUACAAGGCGUUUUCAUUUCAUACAAUAAAGCGACAACCAUAUGGCUCCUGCCAGUUGCCGAUAACUUCGGUUACAAAACAUGAUCAUCUCAUACAAUAAAAUAUAGCAUCACGUCUUGACCAUAUCACAUCACAACAUGCCCUGCAAAAACAAGUUAAACAUCCUCUACUUUGUUGUUGCAAAUUUUACGUGGCUGCUACGGGCUUAGCAAGAACCGUUCUUACCUACGCAUGAAAAACCACAACGAUAGUUCGUCAAGUUAGUGCUGUUUUAACCUUCGCAAGGACCGGGCGUAGCCACACUCGAUUCAGCUAAAGUGAGAGAGACAGACACCCGCCAGCCACCUUUAAGCACGAGUGCUCGUAACGAUGAAACCAGUCUCGCGUAAGCGUACGCGUAAUGUCGGUCCGGGCCGCUUCAUCUCACAAUAUCGCCGAACCAAAGUAUGACAUGCUGGUAAGUAGUAUGACUUGUAUCGCCCACAACUCACUUGUGUUCUACUCGUGCAUAUAACAUCAACGCAGAAAACCUAGGCUCGGAUGCCACUGUUGGGGAACGUAGUAAUUUCAAAAAAAUUUCUACGCACACGCAAGAUCAUGGUGAUGUCAUAGCAACGAGAGGGGAGAGUGUUGUCCACGUACCCUCGUAGACCGUAAGCGGAACCGUUAGCACAACGCGGUUGAUGUAGUUGUACGUCUUCACGAUCCGACCGAUCCAAGCACCGAACGUACGGCACCUCCGAGUUCAGCACACGUUUAGCUCGAUGACGAUCUCCAGGCUCCGAUCCAGCAAAGCUCCGGAGAUGAGUUCCAUCAGCACGACGGCGUGGUGACGAUGAUGAUGUUCUACCGGCGCAGGGCUUCGCCUAAACUCCGCGACGAUACGACCGAGGUGGAAUAUGGUGGAAGGGGGCACCGCACACGGCUAAGGAACGAUCCGUAGAUCAACUUGUGUCUAUGGGGUGCCCCCCGCCCCCGUACAUAAAGGAGCCAAGGGGAGGGGGCGGCCGGCCAAGGAGGGGCGCGCCAAGGGGGAGUCCUACUCCCACCGGGAGUAGGACUCCCUUUCUUUCCUAGUUGGAGAAGGAGGAGGGGGGAAAGAGGAGGAAGAGGGGAAGGAAAGGGGGGGCGCCGCCCCCCUUCCCUUGUCCUAUUCAGACUAGGAAGGGGAGGGGUGCGCGGCCACCUCCUGCCUCCUUCCCUCUUCUCCCUCGAGGCCCAUGUAGGCCCAAUAACCCCCGGGGGGGUUCCGGUAACCUCCCGAUACUCCGGUAAAAUGCCGAUUUCACCCGGAACGAUUCCAAUGUCCAAAUAUAGGCUUCCAAUAUAUCGAUCUUUAUGUCUCGACCAUUUCGAGACUCCUCGUCAUGUCCGUGAUCACAUCCGGGACUCUGAACAAACUUCGGUACAUCAACACUUAUAAACUCAUAAUAAAACUGUCAUCGUAACGUUAAGCAUGCGGACCCUACGGGUUCGAGAACUAUGUAGACAUGACCUAGAACUAUUCUCGGUCAAUAACCAAUAGCGGAACCUGGAUGCCCAUAUUGGUUCUUACAUAUUCUACGAAGAUCUUUAUCGGUCAAACCGCAUAACAACAUACGUUGUUCCCUUUGUCAUCGGUAUGUUACUUGCCCGAGAUUUGAUCGUCGGUAUCCAAUACCUAGUUCAAUCUCAUUACCGGCAAGUCUCUUUACUCGUUACGUAAUGCGUCAUCCUGUAACCAACUCAUUGGUCACAUUGCUUGCAAGGCUUAUAGUGAUGUGCAUUACCGAGAGGGCCCAGAGAUACCUCUCCGGCAAUCAGAGUGACAAAACCUAAUCUCGAAAUAUGCCAACUCAACAUGUACCUUCGGAGACACCUAUAGUACUCCUUUAUAAUCACCCAGUUACGUUGUGACGUUUGGUAGUACCCAAAGUGUUCCUCCGGUAAACGGGAGUUGCAUAAUUCUCAUAGUUACAGGAACAUGUAUAAGUCAUGAAGAAAGCAAUAGCAAUAUACUAAAUGAUCAAGUGCUAGGCUAACGGAAUGGGUCAUGUCAAUCACAUCAUUCUCCUAAUGAUGUGAUCCCACUAAUCAAAUGACAACACAUGUCUAUGGUUAGGAAACAUAACCAUCUUUGAUUAAUGAGCUAGUCAAGUAGAGGCAUACUAGUGACUAUAUGUUUGUCUAUGUAUUCACACAUGUAUCAUGUUUCCGGUUAAUACAAUUCUAGCAUGAAUAAUAAACAUUUAUCAUGAUAUGAGGAAAUAUAUAAUAACUUUAUUAUUGCCUCUAGGGCAUAUUUCCUUCAGAUGAACACCGUGCUACACCCGUCCAGGAUACGGCACAACGGAGACACAUGCGCAGACAUGCAGUAGGGACCCGUUGCAAGGAUUCUUUUCAGAUUAAGACCGUGCGUAAACCUUUUUUACUGUCUCUUUUUGAUAUACAUCCCCCGGUUUCUUGCUAUAACCGAGGAGGAGGCUGACGUUUUGGCAUCGGCCGCGUCAGAAGCUUUUGCGCGUACCUGGACAUUAGGGGCUUAGGGCAUUGUUUUGCCCGUUUUCAUAAAGACUGAAUACCUUAGGGAGUGUUCGGCGUCUCGAGUUAGGCCUUAUAUGCAUCAGCUCCAAAUCAUGUCUUUGGUCAAAUGUUGGGUUUGCCCGGCUCCUGUGUUUUGCUGCUAAAAGUGUAACUAUCCCUAGGUGGUUUUGGUAAUUCAUAACAACAUAUAGCUCAUUGAGCUAAUGCUAUUCCAAGACUAUUAUUUCAGGAAAGCUCAAUGAAUGGCAUGGCAUGGAUGAUGAAAGUGGAUCCCUCAAAAUACUAAGGACAAAGGAUUGGCUCAAGCUCAAAAGCUCAAGACUCUUCAUUUUAUAUUUUAGUGAUCCAAGAUCACAUUGAGUCUAUAGGAAAAGCCAAUACUAUCAAGGAGGGAUGAGGUGUUGCUUAAUGAGCCUCUUGCUUCAUGUGCUUUGUGAUAUGCUCCAAAACCCUCAACUACUUUCCCACAUCCACAAAUGACCUAAACCCAAAGACAAAAUCGGUCACACUGAUUGUUCCUAUCCGGCGCCACCGAUUCCAAAAGUCAUAGCCACUGCCACAAACCCUAAGCAAAUCGGUCUUACCGAUAGGGAUCUCGGUCUCACCGAGUGGGGUUGUAAUCUCUCUGUUUCCCUUUGUAACGUUUCGGUCUAACCGAAGUGAGCGAUCGGUCCCACCGAGAUUGCAAUGUAAACUCUCUGUUUCCCUUUUGUAACAUUUCGGUCUCACCGAAAAGAGCAAAUCGGUCCCACCGAGUUUACCUGACCAACUCUCUGGAAAGCUUAUUACCAAAUCGGUCUCACCGAGUUUGUGUAAUCGGUCUUACCGAGAUUACGUUAUGCCCUAACUCUAACCGAAUCGGUCUCACCGAGAUGCAUGUCAGUCCCACCGAAAAUCACUAACGGUCACUAGGUUUACUAAAUCGGUCCGACCGAGUUUAACGAUUCGGUCCCACCGAGUUUGGUAAAUUGUAUGUAACGGUUAGAUUUUGUGUGGAGGCUAUAUAUACCCCUCCACCUCCUCUUCAUUCAUGGAGAGAGCCAUCAGAACGAACCUACACUUCCAACUUACCAUUUCUGAGAGAGAACCACCUACUCAUGUGUUGAGACCAAGAUAUUCCAUUCCUACCAUAUGAAUCUUUAUCUCUAGCCUUCCCAAGUUGCUUUCCACUCAAAUCUUCUUUCCACCAGAUCCAAAACCCAUGAGAGAGAGUUGAGUGUUGGGGAGACUAUCAUUUGAAGCACAAGAGCAAGGAGUUCAUCAUCAACGCACCAUUUGUUACUUCUUGGAGAGUGGUGUCUCCUAGAUUGGCUAGGUGUCACUUGGGUGCCUCCGACAAGAUUGUGGAGUUGAACCAAGGAGUUUGUAAGGGCAAGGAGAUCUCCUACUUCGUGAAGAUCUACCGCUAGUGAGGCAAGUCCUUCGUGGGCGACGACCAUGGUGGGAUAGACAAGGUUGCUACUUCGUGGACCCUUCGUGGUUGGAGCCCUCCGUGGACUCGCGCAGCCGUUACCCUUCGUGGGUUGAAGUCUCCAUCAACGUGGAUGUACGAUAGCACCACCUAUCGGAACCAUGCCAAAAACAUUCAUGUCUCCAAUUGCGUUUGAAUCCUCCAAACCCUUCCCUUUACUUUCUUGCAAGUUGCAUGCUUUAAUUUCCGCUCCCUAUAUACUCUUUGCAUGCUUGCUUGAAUUGUGUGAUGAUCGCUUGACUUGUCCUAAAGUAGCUAAAAUCUGCCAAACUCUAAAAUUGGGAAAAGGUUAAGUUUUUAUUGGUCAAGUAGUCUAAUCACCCCCCCUCUAGACAUACUUCAAGGUCCUACAUCUGCCUUACGUUCCGCUCUAUCGGCUAACACGGCACCAGGAGAACUACUGCGAUUGUACCCCGGUUCGGCUUGGUGAGCACCUCAGUAGAGAAAGCCGAAAACUAACUGUCAUGAUAUAGCGAGAGACUGGUCAACCACUCGAUGGACCACCGGAAUGUUUAGAAUUCCUCCGCUUUAACUAAGGACCGUUUCCCGGUCAGGCACAUACGCGCCCCGAAUUCGGAGAGCGCGGUGCCCCUAGGGGCUAUAUAGUAGCCCCACCAUCGAACACCUAUGGCUAAGUGAAAGUGAUAAAGCAUUAUAGUCCGGUUGCCUAGUUUGCUACGCUAUCACCUCCUUCAUAGGACCAAGACGUAGGAUUAAGUGUGGAAAUGCGCUUUUUUGCAAACGCCCCCGCACUAUGUGCGUGGGGGCUGAAGCCGAAGACUGCCAUCUUUCAGGUUAUAUACACAUAUACAUUAACGGCCGCAUAGGAGGUAUUUCAGUACUUGAACGCACAAGUAUAAAAAGCCUUUACAUUAUAUUUGAAACAUAGUUUCAUAAAUCAUACAUGUCAUUUGAACACAAUAUUCUUCGAGCACUGCGUCUCUUUUAAACGAGUGCCCUGCAGGACUUCCUCAAAAUAGUGCUCGGCGGGUACUCGGCUUCUGUCCGAAUCCUGGGAUGCAACGUCGGUGGCCUUCAUCUCUGCCCAGUAUGUUUUGACACGGGCAAGAGCCAUCCGCGCACCUUCUAUGCAUGCCGACCGCUUCAUUGCAUCGAUAUGCGGCACCGCAUCAAGGAACUGCUGCACCAAGCCAAAAUAACUCUUCGGCUCGGGCCUUUUCGGCCACAAAUGAGUCACGACAUCCUUCAUGGCAAGUCCGGACAACCUAUUCAGCUCAGCCCAUUCGGCUAACCGAUCGGUUAAUGGAAGUGGACGCUCUGGACUAUGGAACUGCGACCAAAAAAGGUCUUCCAUCCCGUGAUCCUUUUGGCCUCGGAAGUGUGCGACCACAUCUGCGGCACUCGCCGCCAAAUCCAGAUAAGCAUCCUCCGCACCCCACAGCUGGCCCAACUGAGCAUACUUCGGAUUCGUGAACUUCCUACGCUGCAGAAAGGGCUUUCCAGCCGCAAUAUCCCCGGCUUGAUGUAGCUCCUUCUUUAUAGCUCUCAUCACAGAGCGCACAUCCUUGGCUUCGGCGGUGGCCUUCUUCAGGUCCUCUUGCUCCGCUCGGCAUUCUUUUUCAAGAAACUCGCAGCGGUCGGUAGCAUUCUUCAACUUCCCAACCAUCUCGGCCAUUUCCUCCCUGCUUCGGCAGUGAGCAGCCUGUUCGGCUUUUAGCUCCUCGGCCUCCCUCAAGGCAGCCGCAUCACUUUUUCUGGCUUGCUCCUUGACUCGGGCUAGCUCCGCCCGAAGGUUCUCCAUAGCAGCGGCACCAUCUGCAUAAAGCAUACAUGUUGUAAGGCAUGAGCGUUAAGCUCCCUUACCAGGUGUCCACAGAGAAGUUGCAUACCUUGUGACUCGUCAAGCCGCUUAUUGACAAGCGCGAUGUCUGCAUUCCCCAUGUCAAGUUGCCACUUCAGUUCGGCAAAGUGAUCAGUCCGGUUGGCCACCGGACGCUCCGCCACAUAUAUAGGACAGGCGACAUCUUAAAAACUGAGAUUAUGAUCCUCGGCCCGCUGUCACUUUCGACAACGUACCGAGUCUCAGGGGCUACUAUCUAUACAGAGCGCAUUCUAUAUGCAAAACUGUCAGGAGGUAUAUCAUUUUCGCGUACCUCAAACCCCGUCAGUAAACUUCGGACGGCUUCACGCAAUCCGCUCUCAGCGGAUGAAAUCCUUUCAAUCACCGUACCCAUUAACGCACAGUGAUCUUCUAAGAUAGACGCUCGCCCGAGCAGAUACCUCAGCUCCUCCGACCGUACACCAGUCGGUGCCGGCCCCGCCGAACUCGGGGAAACCCUCUGCGACGACACUUCAGGGUCGUCCACCCCACCUGACGGUGCGGCAGAUGGAGGCGUUUCACUCUCCAUCAUCUCCGGAUGAAGAUCCCCCGAAGAUGAGCUCUACUGAGAAGGGUUGAGAUAUGAACUACAAGGUAAAACUUCGGUUAUCUACAGAAAUAAAAACAGGGAUGUCCCUUAUUACAAAACUCCCCUUUCUACUUACGGCUUGCUGGAGGGCUGAUUCCCUUGGGGAAAUAAUGCGGCCGAGGCCUCUCCUGGCGCAGGACCCUCUGGUGAAGAUUUCUUCCCCCGCUUUGAGGCCUUGGCCUCCGGAUCUUCAGAAGCGGUCCUCUUCUCCCCCUGGAGGGAGGGAUUCUCGAUCCCCCCUCCCUUGAAAGCCUCCUUCGCAGAGGCAGUAAUUUCCUUGUUCCCCCCUUUGCCCUCUUCCAAAGGCGCAGCCUCCAGCAUCUUGGUUAACACUGGAUCUGGCGUGGUCUCGGGGAGGGGGGCCGGACACCUUAUUAGUUUUGCAUUCGCUACCCACUCCUGUUCAAGGGACAACUCUUUAAAGGGCAAGUUUAUGAUAAAUGUAUGGAUAGCGUUUCUGGGCACAGGACUACUUACUUGAGUAUCCGGGAAAUUGCAGCUCAGACCUGCGUCCUCGGUCAAGUCCGGACACAUCUCUUGUGAUCCGAAGAACAGUUUAUACAUCUCCACGGGCGUCGCGCCCAUGAAGUGUUGGAGAGCUCGUGGUCCCUCCGGAUUAAAUUCCCACAGGCGGAGGGGGCGACGUUUGCAGGGCAGAAUGCGCCGAAUCAGCAUGACCUGCGCCACUACGACCAGAUUGAUCUCUCUCUCUUGGAGGUCUCGAAUACGGCCCUGCAGCAGAGGUACGUCCUUGAACGGCCCCCAGUCAAGUCCUUUGUUGACCCAUGACGCCAGCCGUUGUGGAGGACCCGAGCAGAAGGUAGGUGGCACCACCCAUUUGGUGCCCCUGGGAGCGGUGAUGUAAAACCACUCCCGUUGCCACAAACCAAGCUCCUCUUGAAAAGAGCCCUCGGGCCAUGGAGCGUCAACAUUCUUGCUUAUAACAACCCCUCCGCACUCUACCUGCUUCCCCUUGAUCAUCUUCGGCUCCACUUUGAAGGUCUUGAGCCACAAUCCGAAGUGAGGGGUAAUGCGGAGGAAGGCUUCACAUACGACAAUGAACGAUGAGAUGUGGAGGAUGGACUCCGGAUCCAAGUCGUGGAAUUCCAACCCAUAAUAAAACAUGAGCUCCCUCACGAAGGGGUCCGUCAGGAAGGCUAAACCCUGAAGGAAGUGAGACAUGAACACGAUGCUCUCACCAGUCUCGGGAGUAGGAAUAACCUGCCCUUGGGCAGGCAGCCUAUGUGAAAUUUCACCGAUUAGAUACCUAGCGUCUCUCAGCUUUAGCACGUCUUCUUCCAUGACGGAGGAAGGCAUCCACCGGCCUUGCAGGUCGGAGCCGGACAUUGUCGAAGGUCCAAAGCGCCUGAAUCUGGAGCUUUGGGUGUUGGAACUCGAGGCGAGGGGCGGACUCGAUUGAGAUUGAAAGAAAGGAGCAGGCCUUGGUCUUGUUAUAAAGAGGUUGAAUACCAAGAGCCCCCCCGUGGCCGUUUGGGACUCGCCUUCGAUAGAGGGGGCGUGCCAACGGGCGCGGUUGGGUUACCCACGCCCGUAUUGAUGAGAAUCCCGGAAUAAGGGGACACGAUCUCUGCUUUGACAAGACGUGCCAAGGAAACCGCUUCGCUAAACGCGCUGAGGUGGAACAAUAAAAACAAUUCGAAUAAAGGCCUGGCCAUGAUGUGAUGCCACGCCACGGAAUACGUCAGCAGAUUGAACUUGUGUAAAUAUUAUUCUCUCUACGGUGGUAUGUGGAACUUAUUUUGCAGAGCCGGGCACUAUCCUGGUGUUCAAAAAUCUUCUAUGAAGUAUUCGGAGGAGGAACCCGCCUUGCAAUGCCGAAGACAAUAUGCGUGCUGGACUUGUCGUCAUCGAAGCCUGGUUCAGGGGCUACUGAGGGAGUCCUGGACUAGGGGGUGUCCGGAUAGCCAAACUAUCAUCUUUGGCUGGACUCCAAGACUAUGAAGAUACAAGAUUGAAGACUCCGUCCCGUGUCCGGAUGGGACUUUCCUUGGCAUGGAGGGCAAGCUUGGCGAUACGGAUAUGUAGAUCUCCUACCAUUGUAACCGACUCUGUGUAACCCUAGCCCUCUACCAUGUCUAUAUAAACCAGAGGGUUUUAGUCCGUAGGACGAACAACAAUCAUACCAUAGGCUAGCUUCUAGGGUUUAGCCUCUCUGAUCUCAUGGUAGAUCUACUCUUGUACUACCCAUAUCAUCAAUAUUAAUCAAGCAGGAGUAGGGUUUUACCUCCACAGAGAGGGCCCGAACCUGGGUAAAAACAUCGUGCCCCUUGUCUCAUGUUACCAUCCGCCUAGACGCACAGUUCGGGACCCCCUACCCGAGAUCCGCCAGUUUUGACACCGACAACGCCUAAUGCUAGUUGUUGUUUUCUGCAUGUUUGUUACAUCGCAGGAAAUCAAUACCAAACGGAGUCCAAACGCAGUGAAACAUUUUGAGGAUUUUUUUGGGGAAAGAAGACAUCCAGUGGGCCAAGGCUGCACCUAUGGGUUGCCUUAAGGAGGGCAGCACCCACCAGGGCGCGCCAGGCGGCCCAGGCGCACUCUGGUGGGUUGUGCCCACCUCGGGUGCCCCUUAAAUCGCCUCCUUGCUCUAUAAAUACCCCAAUAUUCCAGAAACCCUAGGGGAGUCGACGAAAAUCAAUUCCAGUUGCCGCAGAGUCCAGAACCACCAGAUCCAAUCUAGACACCAUCACGGAGGGGUUCACCACUUCCAUUGGUGCCUCUCCGAUGAUGCGUGAGUAGUUCUUUUUAGACCUACGGGUCUGUAGUUAGUAGCUAGAUGGCUUCCUCUCUCUCUCUUGAUUGUCAAUACAAUGGUCUCUUGGAGAUCCAUAUGAUGUAAGCCUUUUUGGUUGUGUUUGUUGGGAUCCGAUGAACUUUGAGUUUAUAAUCAGAUCUAUGUUUUUAUCCAUGAAAGUUAUUUGAGUCUUCUUUGAUCUCUUAUAUGCAUGAUUGCUUAUAGCCUCGUAUUCUUCUCCGAUAUUUGGGUUUUGUUUGGCCAACUUGAUCUAUUUAUCUUGCAAUGGGAAGUGGUGCCCGGUAGUGGGUUCGAUCUUACGGUGCUUGAUCCCAAUGACAGAAAGGGAACCGACACGUAUGUAUCGUUGCUACUAAGGAUAAAAAGACGGGAUCCAUAUCUGCCGCAAUAGAUAAACGGAUCUUGUCUAUAUCAUGUCAUCGUUCUUAUUGCAUUACUCCAUUUUUCCAUGAACUUAAUACACUAGAUGCAUGCUGGAUAGCGGUCGAUGUGUGGAGUAAUAGUAGUACAUGCAGGCAGGAGUCGGUCUAGUAAUCCUGGACGUGAUGCCUAUGCAAUGAUCAUUGCCUGGAUAUCGUCAUGAUUAUUUGAAGUUCUAUCAAUUUCCCAACAGUAAUUGUUUUCCCGCCAUUUGCUAUUUUUCUCGAGAGAAGCCACUAGUGAAACCUACGGCCCCCAGGCCUCUUUUCAUCAUAUUUGCCUUUGCGAUCUAUUUUCCUUUGCAUUUAUUUUUCAGAUCUAUUAAACCAAAAAUAAAAAAAAACCUUGCUGCAAUUUAUUUGUUCCACGAUCUAUUUAUCCUAUCUACCACUUUUACCUCACAUUAUUUGCCUAUCUUGAGGCGUUGUACCCGAAAGGGAUUGACAACCCCUUUAACACGUCGGGUUGCGAGUAUUUGUUAUUUGUGUGCAGGUGCUGUUUACGUGGUGUGAGGAGGUUCUCCUACUGGUUUGAUAACCUUGGUCUCAUCACUGAGGGAAAUACCUACCGUCGCUAUACUGCAUCAUCCCUUCCUCUUUGGGGAAAUACCGACGUAGUUCUAGCAGACAUCAUACCUGCACACAAAACACAAAACAAACUUAUCCCCAACAAGUCAAAAAGGUUGUCAAGCUUCUUUUUUUUGUGGGGAAUAGGGUGUUUUUAUUACUCAAUCAAAGGGCAGUCCGCCUUACAAAGUUCUCGAACAACACCAAGACCCGAUCAAAUCCACAAAGCAGUGCGAACCUCACAUCUACCAAAAUUAGCUAAAAAAUGACUGACAACAUUUUGAUCACGCUUCACAUGCGUGAUCUUCACCUCUCGGCCCUCCUACAGGGAUUUCGAGAUAGUAUCCACCAUCAUGGUGUAUCUCGAGUGUCCUGCCAGCCCUUGAGAAAUCAGAUUCUUCACCUCGAGACAAGUCGGUUCUCCACAACAAUCGAUAGUGUAGUCCAUUGCAAGGCAAACGCGACCCCAUCCUUAUAGGUUGAGAGCUCCACCUCUAGCACAUCCGCACAUGAACUCAAGUAUCGACAAGCUGAGAAAAUGAUGGCUCCUAUAUCAUCACGCAAGAUCAUUCCUGCUCCAGCCGUAGCAUCCGCAUCAUAGAAGUACCCAUCAACUGAUAGUUUGGUCCAUCCGGCUGGUGGUGGAGACCAAACAAGCCUCGACUGAUGCUCCUUCUCACCCUUGGGUGUUAGCACUUGCUUCCCAUGUGGUAAGACCACCACUUUUCCCUUCACGUGGUCCACCUUUGGAUAUUGUUGAAUGCUCUAGAGUGUGUUGACGUAGCUAAGAAGAAAGCACAUGGAAGAUUCACUAUCCGAUGGCUUCUUGGUGUGGACGAUUUCAUUCCACACAUGCCAACACCUCCAUAAAGUCAUCAAGAGGCACAUGCGAUCAUGAUCCGAGAGAUCCGCGAGCACCAGAAGCAGCCACUCCGGGCCCUCGUCUCUCACAGUGUGCACGUCCGGGAUAUUCCAAUGUUCCACCAUAGUUUGCCACAACGCGACCGCCCUCGGGCACCUGCAAAAUGCGUGAUAUGUAUCCUCCCGCCCGGUCAUACAAAUGAGACAAACAUCAGAUACUUCAAGAGUUCGGUGAUGCUUAUUUUCCCAAGUAGGGAGGGAAUUAGUAGCCAGCUGCCAUGCAAAGACACACACCUUCGGAGGAGCAGGGCACCUCCAUAAAUAAUCCCAGAUGGCUCGUCGCUCGCCCGGUGCCCUACUCGCUUCGACUGAAGAUGGUCGAAGGCGCUCGUUGAGGCCCAAUUGAUAAGCUCUCCAAACAGUAAAGACUCCAGAAUGCUCUAGUUCCCAUGCAAAACAUCAUCACUGAGCCUUGGUGAGGUACGAAUCUUGAGAAUAGCAUCAAUAUCUGGAGUAAAAAACCAACGAUGAAGGAGAUCCAACCGCCAAUUGCCAUGUUCAUCCAACAACUGGUCCACACGGCGAAGACGACACCUUGCCCGAGGAGAAAUUGGCAUGACAGGUUCCCCUCGUUGAAUCCACUGAUCGUGCCAUAUGCGGAUGGAUGCAUCGUUUACUACCCGCCAAAUAAUUCCCUUUUCAACAUUUCAAGUCCGUGCACAAUUGAUUGCCAAGUCAUCAAAGCAUUUCCGGAGAACAUAGUAUCGAGCAUGUCCCUAUUUAGAAAAUAGUGUGCUUUUAGGACAUGCGCACAUAAACUAUCUGGGAUUGUGAGGAUACACCACGCCUGCCAGGCAAGUAAAGCUUGGUUGAAAAUUCUCAUAUCUUUGAAUCCCAUUCCACCAUGUGACUUUGGUUGAUUAAAUCCUUCCAUGCACACCAAUGCAUUUUUCUCCUACCUUUUGCUACCCCAUGAAAGUGCAACUAUCCCUAGGUGGUUUUGGUAAUGAUUAACGACAUAUAGCUCAUUGAACUAAUGCCAUCUCAAGAUAAAUAUUUCAGGGAAGUUCAAUGAUUGGCAUGGCAUGGAUUAGGAUUGUGGACCCCUCAAAAUGCUAGGACAAAAGAUUGGCUCAAGCUCUAAAGUCCAAGACUCUACAUUUUCUAUUUAGUGAUCCAAGAUCACAUUGAGUCUAUAGGAAAGCCAAUACUAUUAAAAGGGGAUGAGGUGUUGCUUAAUGGCUUGCUUGCUCAAAAUGCUUAGUGAUAUGCUCCAAAAGCCCUCAACCACUUUCUCAUAUCCACAUAUGUCCCAAAUCAAAAGUCAAACUCGGCCCCACCGAUUUGAUUCAUCCGGUGCCACCGAGUUCAUUUGACAUAGCCAGUGCUAGAAACCCUAGUCACUUCGGUCUCACUGAUAUGGAUCUCGGUCUCAUCGAGAUGAGGUUGCAAACUCUCUAUUUCCCUUCAUAACGUUUCGGUCUAACCGAGAUGAGCAAUCGGUUCCAUCGAGUCUGCAAUGCAAACUCUUUGUUUCCCUUUCGUAACGCUUUGGUCCCACCAAGACGAGCGAAUUGGUCCCAUAGAGUUUGCCUGAGCAACUCUCUGGUUAGCUUAUUACCGAAGUUGGUCCAACCGAGUUUGUGUAAUCGGUCCAACCGAGAUUACGUUAUGCCCUAACCCUAAUGAUAUCGGUCCCACCGAGUUGACAUGUUGGUCCCAUCGAAAUUGCCUAACGGUCACAUAUGUACAGAAUCGGUCCGACCGGGUUUUCUGAUUGGUCCCACCGAGUUUGGUAUAUUGUGUGUAACGGUUAGAUUUUGUGUGGAGGCUAUAUACACCCCUCCACCCUCUUAUCAUUCGUGGGGGAAGCCAUCAGAACGUGCCUACACUUCCACUACUCAUUUUCUGAGAGAAAGCCACCUACUCAUGUGUUGAGACCAAGAUAUUCCAAUCCAACCAUAUGAAUCUUGGUCUCUAGCCUUCCCCAAGUUGCUUUCCACUCAAAUCAUCUUUCCACCAAAUCCAAUCCUAUGAGAGUGGGUUGAGUGUUGGGGAGGCUAUCAUUUGAAGCACAAGAGCAAGGAUUUUAUCACCAACACACCACUAUUACCUUUUGGAGAGUGGUGUCUCCUAGAUUGGUUAGGUGUCACUUGGGAGCCUCCGACAAGAUUGUGGAGUUGAAUCAAGGAGUUUGUAAGGGCAAGGAGAUCGCCUACUUCGUGAAGAUCUACCCUAGUGAAGCAAGUCCUUCGUGGGUGAUGGCCAUGGUGGGAUAGACAAGGUUGCUUCUUCGUGGACCCUUCGUGGGUGGAGCUCUCCGUGGACUCGCGCAACUGUUACCCUUCGUGGGUUGAAGUCUCCAUCAACGUGGAUGUACAAUAGCACCACCUAUCGGAACCACGCCAAAACAUCCGUGUCUCCUAUUGUGUUUGCACUCUCCAAACCCAUCCCUUUACAUUCUUGCAAGUUGCAUGCUUUACUUUCCGCUGCUUAUAUACUCUUUGCAUGCUUGCUUGAAUAGUGUUAAGAUUGCUUGACUUGUUCUAAAUUGUUAAAACCUGCCAAGAACUAAAAUUGGGAAAAGGUUAAGUUUAAUUUGGUCAAGUAGUCUAAUCACCCCCCCUCUAGACAUACUUUCGAUCCUACACCCCACCAGUAGUUUCGAAGCAUACUAGUAAUAUCAUCACAUGUAGCAGUCGGUAACCUAAAAACACUCAUCAAAUAUGUUGGCAAGGCCUGGCCUACUAAUUUGAUUGUUACCUCUCGUCCACUUUGAGCUAGUUGAGAAUCCCCCCACAACAAAAGAUUAUAUGUGAGUCUCUCUUGAAGGUUUUGACAUACGCCCUUGUGGAGUUGGGAGCCGAGAUAUUUUUCCUCGAACUGAACAUUCUGCACUUGUAAUAGUUGAACCACCUCCUCACGAUCUGAAUUCCUACAGUGUUCUCCAAACAAAAUAGAACAUUUAGCAGGGUCGAUCAAUUGUCCCAUAGCUCAAGCAUAUGAAUUAAGGACCCCUCGGAUGCUCGUAGCCUCUCUUGUCGUGGCACGAAAGAAAACAAUGUGUCAUCCGCAAAUAGCAAAUGGGAUAUUCCGGGCGUCCGCGGACAUGCACGAAGUGGAGUAAUAUGCAUAUUGUCAACAUUCUGUCUCAAUAAAGCAGCAAGACCAUCAGCAAUAAAGAGAAACAAAAAAGGCAAAAGAGGAUCUCCCUGCCGAAGGCCACACUUCGGUGCAAAUGAAUCUGAGAGGGCUCCAUUAACAUUAACCUUGUAUCUCACGGUGGUGACACAUGACAUUAUCCACUACACCCACCGAUGAGCAAAGCCCACAUGUUGCAUCACUCGCUCCAAGAAGAUCCAAUCCACACGAUCAUAAGCUUUAGAUAAAUGAAGCUUAUAUGCACAUAACUCCUAUUCGGGUCCUUCUCUUGCUUGAUAAAAUGAGUACACUCAAAGGCCAUAAACGCAUUAUCAGUAAUCAACCUACCAGACACGAAUGCACUCUGUUCUGGGGAGAUAAUGUCAUCAAGCUGAGGUCGAAGGCGAUUAACGAGACACUUGGAGAUGAUCUUGUACACCACAUUGCAUAGGUUGAUAGGAUGAAACUCAGUCAUCUUUGUUGGGUUGUCCACCUUAGGGAUGAGGACGAUGGUCGUGGUGUUGACGCCUUGGGGCAUUUGACCUAUAUCAGAAAACAUUUGAACUAUAGCAACAAUAUCCAUUUUAAGAGCAGCCCAAUGACGCUAAAAAAAUCUUACUGGGAAGCCAUCCGGCCCCCGUGCCUUAAGCGGUCCCAUCUGAAAGAUCACAUCGGAUAUUUUCUUUUCUGAAAAAGGUUGACAAAGCUUCUCAUUCAUAUCAUCAGUAAUUAACUUCUCAAAUAGGUGGACUACAUCCUCUUGAUUUAAUCGGUUUCUGCCUAAAUUUUUUGCUGAAAAUACUCCAUAGCUAGUCGGCCCGUACCUGCUUGGUCAUCACAUUUUACACCCUCAUCAUUAACCAGAUAUUUUAUCUUAUUUUUUCCUAGCUCGCCACCCGCUUUCUGCUGAAAGAAAUUUGUGUUUCGGUCACCUUCCUUAAGCUAGUCAAUCUGUGAUCUCUGCCUCCAAAGCAUCUCCUCUAUGUAAAGGAGUUCGUUCAUAUGAUCCGCUUCCUUCCUAAUUUUUUUACAAUCUGCAUUCAUGUUCAUUAGUUCCUCCAAUCGCGACCAUGACUUUUCUAGCUCCCUUGUGACAUUCCCAAACUUUUUUCAGCUCAAACCUUGAAGCUUUUUCAUAACCAAACUGAGUGCCUUGCUAACAUCAUCCAUCCCAUGGAUCGCACAUUGGUACUUCCAUGCUUUAUCCACUACAUCAUUAAUCCCCAGUCCCUAUCCCACAUGACUUCAUACCUACAAGAUCUCCUCGGCCUAUCAUUGCUCUACUAUACACAUAGCACAAGGAUAGGCCAGUGAUCUGAACAUGGUGAAACCAAGUGUUGUACCGCUGCAUCAGAGAAAAUGUUACGCCAUCCAAGAUCAACCACCGCUCUAUCAAGUCUUACCUGCACAUUUGCGUUGCCACUCCUACCAUUAUCAUAUGUGUAGGGAUAUCCAGAGAACCCCAGAUCAGCUAAUCCACAAGUAUCAAGCAUAUCUCAAAAGGCCAACAUCUGAGAUGGUGAAAGCACAUUUGCUCCCCGGGUGGUUUUGGUAAUUAAUGACAACAUACUUUGUGGUUGGACUAAUGCUUUUAUCAAGUAUGUUUCAGGAAAUUCAAUCACAUUGGCAUGGCAAAAGGACUAAAGAAGUGGACCCCUCAAAAUGCUAAGGCAAGCAUUGGCAAAAGCUCAGCUAAGGCAAGCAUUGGCAAAAGCUCAAGACUCCAUUUUUGGUUUAGUGAUCCAAGAUCACAUUGAGUCCAUAGGAAAAGCCAAUACUAUUAAAAGGGGAUGAGGUUAUGAUGAUGAUCUGGUUGCUCAAGUGCUUAGUGAUACAUCUCCUAAACUAUCAGCAACUUUCACUGCCAUAUACACUCAUAAGUAGUCUCGGUCCCACCGAUAUUCCAAACUCAGUCACACCGAGAUGAACCACCUCAGCCAUAAGCCAAACCCUAGUAAACUCGGAUUUUCCGAUUCUGAACUCGGUCUCACCGAAACAUGAGUUGCCAAGCUUCUGUAACCUUCUGUCAUCAAAUCGGUGUCACCGAGAUGAUGAAGUCGGUCCCACCGAAACUAGCAUGCUCUUGUCAUUGCACGAAUCGGACUAACCGAGAUUGUAUAUUCGGUCCCACCAAAAAUCCCAACGUUCACAUUAUUUGAACUAUCGGUCUCACCGAGUUGUCCACUUCGGUCCCACCGAGAUUGCUCAAAUGUGUGUAACAGUUGGAUUUUGUGUGGAGGCUAUUUAUACCCCUCCACCCCCUCUUCAUUCGUGGAGAGAGCCAUCAGAAAGAACUACCACUCCUACCUUAUAUUUCUGAGAAGAGAACUACCUACCCUUGUGUUGAGAUCAAGUUGCUCCACUCCCACCAUAUGAAGCUUGAUCUCUAGCCUUCCCAAGUUGCUUUCCACUCAAUCCUUUCUUCCACCACAGCCAAAUCAGUGAGGAGAGUUGAGUGUUGGGGAGAUUAUCAUUUGAAGCACAAGAGCAAGGAGUUCAUCAUCAUCUACAACAUCUAUUACCUUUUGGAGGGUGGUGCCUCCUAGAUUGGUUAGGUGUCGCUUGGGAGCCUCCGUCAUCGAGAUGUGGAGUUGAACCAAGAAGUUUGUAAGGGCAAGGAGAUCGCCUACUUCGUGAAGAUCUACCCCGAGUAAGGCUAGCCCUCCGUGGGCGUAGGCCAUGAUGGAAUAGACAAGGUUGCUUCUUCGUGGACCCUUCGUGGGUGGAGCCCUCCGUGGACUCUCGCAGCCGUUACCCUCCGUGGGUUGAAGUCUCCAUCAACGUGGAAGUACGAUAGCACCACCUAUCGGAACCAUGAGAAAAAUCACCGCGUCUCCAAAUUGCGUUUGAUCUUCUCCACUUCUCUUUACUACUUGUGCAAUUUACUUUCCGCUGCCCAUACUCUAGAAUUGCACGUGUAGUGUGCUACUUGACUUGUGUGUUAUGCAAAAUCUGCCAAAAUCUGUUCUUAAUAAAAGACAGAAUUUUUAUCUUGUCGAGUAGUCUAAUCACCCCCCCUCUAGACACUCUCACCUUCUUCGAUCCCUCAAUUGGUAUCAGAGCUUUGGUCUCCAUUGCUUUGGUUUACACACCAUUGGAGGAAGAUGGACAUGUCUAUGUUUGGGAGUGUUAGCCAUAGAGUGCCUAUUCUUAAUGGAGUGUCCUAUAACUCGUGGAGGAUUGAAAUGCUUAUUAUCUUUAAUACUUACAACUUGCGCAAAUAUGUUGAGACCCCCUAUGUGCCUCCAUUUGACCCCUUGCACCCUACCAUGGAUGAAGAGCUUGAUUUGCUUCGUAACCUUAGGACUGUAAAUCUUAUCAUUAGAGGGUUACCCGAUAACUUGCUUAAGCUCGUUACAAACUUUGAGUGCGCCUAUGCUAUGUGGAAGUUCUUGGAAGAACUUUAUCCGGACUACUCUUUGAGAGGUCUUGAUGAAAUUCUAUACAAGACUAUUGAAUUUGAUAUGAUGCGCCCCAAUGAUCCCAACUUUGAUAAAUGCUUCUUUGAGCUUCGUGAUCUUAUGAAAAAGAAGGGUGAUCCCGGUCUUAUCAAUGUUCUAAUUAGAAAUGCUCUUGUAUUGCAUUCCGAUGAUUAUUGUCACAUUGACAAAACUAAUGCAAGUAGUUAUCAAAUUGACCUAGGUGUUGAUGAUGAACAAUCUAUGGGUCGAUAUGAUGAUGGGCAUGAGCAUGAUGAUGAUCACUCCGAUUCGGACACCGAGCUAGACAAGAUCAUGAAGAGUCUCAACCUUAUGGCAAAUCUGAGAGACUACAUAUCCGGCGGAAAAGAGUGGAUUCUUGAUAGUGGAUGCACCGACCACAUGACCGGAGACAAAGACAUGUUUCGAGAGCUUGCAAAGAACGAUGGUCCACGCAAGUAUGUGACUUUUGGAGACAACUCCAAGGGUAAGGUACUUGGCCUUGGUAAGGUGGCCAUAUCUCAUGAUAGCUCUAUUCAAAAUGUCAUGCUUGUAGAAUCUCUUGGAUACAAUUUACUUUCCGUGUCUAGAUUAGCUGACUUUGGAUUCAAUGUGCUAUUCACCGAAGUAGAUUGCCAAGUCUUUCGUCGUGACAAUCAUAACAUGGCGUUUACCGGUAUCCGCAGAGGUGAUCUAUAUAUUGUUGAUUUCACUAAGAAAGCCCAACCUAGAGCUUGCUUCAUUACUAAAUCAGCUAAAGGUUGGUUAUGGCAUAGAAGGCUUGGACAUGUUGGUAUGCGUAAUUUAGACAAGCUGAUCAAAGGUGAUCAUAUUCUUGGCGUUAAAGAUGUUUUCUUUGACAAAGAUAGACUUUGUAGUGCUUGUCAAGCAGGAAAACAAGUAGGUGGAAGUCAUCCCGUGAAGAACAUCAUGACCACAAGGAGACCGCUUGAGCUUCUUCAUAUGGAUCUCUUUGGUCCCAAUGCUUACAAAAGCCUUGGUGGUAACUCCUUUGGUCUAGUUAUAGUUGAUGAUUAUUCCAGAUUUAUGUGGGUAUUUUUCCUUGAUGACAAAUCGCAGGUUCAGAGGAUCUUCAAAACCUUUGCCAGAAAGGCCCAAAAUCAAUUUGAGGUGAAGAUCAAGAAAGUUCGGAGUGACAAUGGAACGGAGUUCAAGAACGCUAAUGUAGACUCUUUUCUCGAUGAGGAAGGGAUUCUACAUGAGUUCUCGGCUACGUACACUCCUCAACAAAAUGGAGUUGUUGAGAGGAAGAACCGAACGCUCAUAGAGAUGGCGAGAACGAUGCUUGAUGAAUACAAGACACCGAAGCAUUUUUGGGGGGAAGCGGUCGAGACAGCUUGUCAUGCUAUCAACAGGCUUUAUCUUCAUAAGCUCCUCGGCAAGACAUCAUACGAGCUCCUCACCGGUAACAAACCCCAAGUGGGAUACUUUCGUGUCUUUGGUUCAAAAUGUUAUAUCCUUGAUAAGCAUCGUCGGUCUAAAUUUGCUCCUAAAACUCAUGAAGGCUUUUUCCUUGGUUAUGGAUCAAACUCCCACACCUACCGUGUCUACAAUAAUUUCACCCGAAAGGUUGAAGAGACGGUAGACGUGAAGUUUGAUGAAUCUAAUGGCUCGCAAGUAGAGCAAAUGCCUAUUGAUGUAGGAGACAAGGACCCAUCAGAAGCUAUCCAAGAUUUAUCUAUUGGAAAGAUCCGUCCCAUGGAAGUGAAGGAGAGUACCUCAUCUACAUAUGUGGAGCCCCCUACCUCACGGCGAGAUGAACCUCAAGGCAACAUGGAGGCCUCCACAAGUGGAACUCACCAAGAUGAGGAAGUGCAACAAGAAGAUCCACCACAACCUCCUUCUCCACCGCCUCAAGACAACACCAACAACAAUGAAGAAGAAGAAGAGGAAGAUGAAGAUGAUGAGGAAGCUCAGCCACAACCUCAACAAAAGCUAUCCUGAGUCUGAGCAAGAGUCAAGAAAAAUCAUCCCGUGGAACAAAUGAUGAACGACAUCAACUCCGGGAGAAUUACUCGCUCUAAAACUCGCUUAGCUAACUUUUGUGAGCAUUACUCAUUUAUCUCUAGUAUUGAACCUAUGAAGGUAGAAGAAGCACUUGAAGACCCGGAUUGGGUGAACGCUAUGCACGAAGAGCUACACAACUUCGAGAGGAACAAUGUAUGGACUUUGGUAGAGAAGCCCAAGGAUGAUCAAAACGUCAUUGGAACCAAAUGGGUGUUUCGGAACAAGCAAGAUGAAGAUGGACAAGUCAUCCUCAACAAGGCUCGUCUCGUAGCUCAAGGUUACACACAAGUCGAAGGUAUGGACUAUGGUGAGACCUAUGCCCCCGUUGCUAGACUUGAGUCCAUUCGCAUUCUUCUUGCUUUUGCCAAUCACCAUGAUAUUACUCUCUAUCAAAUGGAUAUCAAAAGUGCUUUCCUAAAUGGUGAAAUUGAGGAGGAAGUAUUUGUGAAACAACCUCCCGGAUUUGUGAAUCCCAAAAAGCCUAAUCAUGUUUACAAGUUGCACAAAGCUCUUUAUGGUCUUAAACAAGCUCCUAGAGCUUGGUACAAAUGCUUGACUAGCUUUCUUCUUGAAAAAGGCUUUGAGAUUGGAAAGAUAGACUCAACGCUGUUCACGAAAAGGGUUGAUGGUGAACUAUUUGUGUGCCAAAUAUAUGUUGAUGAUAUUAUCUUUGGUUCAACUAACCCUCAUUUUAGCGAGAAGUUUGGAAAGCUCAUGUCGGAGAAGUAUGAGAUGUCCAUGAUGAGUGAACUCAAAUUCUUCCUUGGGUUGCAAAUCAAGCAAUCUAAGGAGGGUACCUUUGUCUCACAAACAAAGUACACCAAGGAUCUCUUCAAGAAGUUCAACAUGCAAGAAAGCAAAGGUAUGAGAACCCCCAUGCCUACAAGUGGACAUAAUGACUUGACAAAAGAUGGAGAACCCGUUGAUCAAAAGGUUUACCGAUCUAUGAUUGGUUCUCUACUAUAUCUUUGUGCUUCUCGUCCUGACAUAAUGUUGAGUGUAUGCAUGUGUGCUCGAUAUCAAGAAGCCCCUAAAGAAUGUCAUCUUAAAGCUGUUAAAAGGAUUGUGAGAUAUUUGAUACACACACCAAACUUUGGCAUUUGGUAUCCUAAGAGGGCCUCUUUCGACCUUGUUGGCUAUUCCGACUCGGACUAUGCCGGAGAUAGGGUUGAUAGAAAGUCAACUUCGGGUACGUGUCAAUUCCUUGGUCGAUCCCUUGUAUCUUGGUCCUCCAAGAAACAAAAUUCGGUAUCAUUAUCCACUGCCGAAGCGGAAUAUAUUGCUGCUGGUUCGUGUUGUGCUCAAUUACUAUGGAUGACACAAACGCUUAAGGAUUAUGGGAUACAUGUGAGACAUGUUCCCUUGCUUUGUGACAAUGAGAGUGCGAUUAAAAUUGGACACAAUCCCGUGCAACACUCUUGAACGAAACAUAUUGAAGUUCGUCACCAUUUCAUUCGUGAUCACAUUGCCAAGGGUGACAUCAAUCUUAAGCAUGUUCGUACUGACAAACAACUCGCUGAUAUCUUUACAAAACCUCUUGAUGAGAAGGUGUUUUGUCACUUAAGGAGUGAGUUGAACAUCAUUGAUGCUUCAAACUUGGAGUGAGAACUCCAUUGAUGCAUGCAAGGCAUGAGCCCACUUGACUAAUCCUUGAUAUUUCUCUUAUGAUGGUAAUCAUAUAUCUUGGACACAUUUGCCUCCUUGUAUUGCAUCUAACUCCUUGCAGGUACUUGGAUGAUCUACAUUCCACAAGAUUACCACACACUCAAAUCAUGAGUAAUCUUGUCAUUGACCAAGUAUCUAGCCCUUUUGGGAUGUUGAGUUCAAGGAACAAAAUUCCACAUAUCCUUUUUGACAUCUUAUACAUCUAGUAUUUCACUCUUGUCAUCUUGGAUAUCCUUGAGUAUUUCCUUGCUUGCCUAACCCAUGUAGGAAGAUGAACUACACAAGUGGAAAUGGCGCUCCAACUUCACAUUCAAUGAGCACCUACAUCAAGUUCACCUACAUGAACAAAGCAACAACAAGCCCAAGGUAUGUUCUUCACAUCUUUAAGGAGCUUUGCUCAAAGUCAUGAGUACAAGCAGCUUCAUAAGAUGUGAUCACAUCGAAUGCCUAAUCGAAAAAUGGCAACCCCAUUUUGAGCUUAAAUGAUGAGUAUGACCUAUGAUCAAAUGUCCUCAUUUGACUCCUAAGUCAAUAUACUCAAACAUAGGUGACCUUGUCGCCGACCUUUAUCUAGAUGAAGUACAUAUGUUUUGGAGUCUUUCUAUUUUCUCUUAUUUUCUCUCAUUGAGUUUUCAUUAAAAAAAACUUCAUCUAGGAAUCUUUUUCAUUUCUAUUCUUCUGUCUUUGUGAAUAUCCUUCUGGCUCUGAUCAAUUCCUCGAAAAUCAUUCACAAAUUCAUUGCAAAUCCUUUGAAACAUUCCUCGCAAAGUGAGAUGAAUUAUUUCUGUAUUUCCUUGAAAUUAAACUCGGCGUCACCGAUUUAACUAUUUCGGUCUAACCGAAAAGGAUCUACCCUAAGUCCCUGAUUCGGACCCACCGAUCCAUCCUAAUUCGGUGUCAUCGAUUUAUUUCUUCCAGGAUAUCAUCUUCUGCAGCUCCACUCAAUGAUUCUCUAUGCAUGUUCCUUUUUGCCCUGUUGUGAUUCUUAAGGAUCCCACUUCUUUCUUUCCAUCUUCCCUAACCUUCCUAGUUCGCUGUCCUUUUCGGCACUUGAUGUCAAAGGGGGAGAAGACUUAGGGGGAGAAGAGAAGAUUUAGGGGGAGAAGAAGAGCAAUCUUACCUUAAGGGGGAGAGAAUCACAUCAAAGCUUUGCCGUGUUUUUCCUUAUAAGAGAAUUUCUUGCCCCUUGAUCUGAGAGAACUCAAAGGGAGAGGAAUCUUCACAAUUGAUAUCUUAUGGAAAGCAAAAUCUCUCAGAGUUCAUUGAAAAUCUUUUAGUUUCGGAGACAUGUUUGCUGAUUCAAGCUUGUGCUCAAUAUGAGACACUCUUUAUACAUGUCAUCCCUGGCUUGGUACUCUUGAUGUUCUUGUAGUUAGUUGAAGAAAUACUCUUGUGUUAUCUAACCUUGUUUUCCCAAGUUUAUCUCUUCAGGUACAAUGCCAAGGAACCUCAAGGUAAGUAUAUGCACUUUGCAGAAUGUGCAUGAUGGUGACUUGCUUGUGAAUACUUGUUUGCAAGAAAUCACCAUGCACAUAUGCAUUAUCACUCACUUCUUUUCAUCUGCUCUGAUGCAUAUAGCCAAGCUGCAUGUAGCACAUCUUGCUUCUCUCUCUUGUGUGCUUGUGGUAGUCCAAAACCAUAAUUUAUGAAAAUCUUGCACACUUGUAGGGGGAGCCUGUGUACUACAUGUUUGUCAAAGCUUUCGUGAUAAUUCUGUCUUUCUUUCAAUAAGCUUUGAUGUCUUGUUUAGUGUGUUGCCAUCAAUUACCAAAAAGGGGGAGAUUGAAAGCACAUUUGCUCCCCGGGUGGUUUUGGUAAUUAAUGACAACAUACUUUGUGGUUGGACUAAUGCUUUUAUCAAGUAUGUUUCAGGAAAUUCAAUCACAUUGGCAUGGCAAAAGGACUAAAGAAGUGGACCCCUCAAAAUGCUAAGGCAAGCAUUGGCAAAAGCUCAGCUAAGGCAAGCAUUGGCAAAAGCUCAAGACUCCAUUUUUGGUUUAGUGAUCCAAGAUCACAUUGAGUCCAUAGGAAAAGCCAAUACUAUUAAAAGGGGAUGAGGUUAUGAUGAUGAUCUGGUUGCUCAAGUGCUUAGUGAUACAUCUCCUAAACUAUCAGCAACUUUCACUGCCAUAUACACUCAUAAGUAGUCUCGGUCCCACCGAUAUUCCAAACUCAGUCACACCGAGAUGAACCACCUCAACCAUAAGCCAAACCCUAGUAAACUCGGAUUUUCCGAUUCUGAACUCGGUCUCACCGAAACAUGAGUUGCCAAGCUUCUGUAACCUUCUGUCAUCAAAUCGGUGUCACCAAGAUGAUGAAGUCGGUCCCACCGAAACUAGCAUGCUCUUGUCAUUGCACGAAUCGGACUAACCGAGAUUGUAUAUUCGGUCCCACCGAAAAUCCCAACGUUCACAUUAUUUGAACUAUCGGUCUCACCGAGUUGUCCACUUCGAUCCCACCGAGAUUGCUCAAAUGUGUGUAACGGUUGGAUUUUGUGUGGAGGCUAUUUAUACCCCUCCACCCCCUCUUCAUUCGUGGAGAGAGCCAUCAGAAAGAACUACCACUCCUACCUUAUAUUUCUGAGAAGAGAACUACCUACCCUUGUGUUGAGAUCAAGUUGCUCCACUCCCACCAUAUGAAGCUUGAUCUCUAGCCUUCCCAAGUUGCUUUCCACUCAAUCCUUUCUUCCACCACAGCCAAAUCAGUGAGGAGAGUUGAGUGUUGGGGAGAUUAUCAUUUGAAGCACAAGAGCAAGGAGUUCAUCAUCAUCUACAACAUCUAUUACCUUUUGGAGGGUGGUGCCUCCUAGAUUGGUUAGGUGUCGCUUGGGAGCCUCCGUCAUCGAGAUGUGGAGUUGAACCAAGAAGUUUGUAAGGGCAAGGAGAUCGCCUACUUCGUGAAGAUCUACCCCGAGUAAGGCUAGCCCUCCGUGGGCGUAGGCCAUGAUGGAAUAGACAAGGUUGCUUCUUCGUGGACCCUUCGUGGGUGGAGCCCUCCGUGGACUCUCGCAGCCGUUACCCUCCGUGGGUUGAAGUCUCCAUCAACGUGGAAGUACGAUAGCACCACCUAUCGGAACCACGAGAAAAAUCACCGCGUCUCCAAAUUGCGUUUGAUCUUCUCCACUUCUCUUUACUACUUGUGCAAUUUACUUUCCGCUGCCCAUACUCUAGAAUUGCACGUGUAGUGUGCUACUUGACUUGUGUGUUAUGCAAAAUCUGCCAAAAUCUGUUCUUGAUAAAACAUAAUUUUUAUCUUGUCGAGUAGUCUAAUCACCCCCCCUCUAGACACUCUCAC